rnacentral:rRNA from 1 species
GAUAAGGAGCUUGCUCCUUUGACGUUAGCGGCGGACGGGUGAGUAACACGUGGGUAACCUACCUAUAAGACUGGAAUAACUCCGGGAAACCGGGGCUAAUGCCGGAUAACAUAUAGAACCGCAUGGUUCUAUAGUGAAAGAUGGUUUUGCUAUCACUUAUAGAUGGACCCGCGCCGUAUUAGCUAGUUGGUAAGGUAAUGGCUUACCAAGGCGACGAUACGUAGCCGACCUGAGAGGGUGAUCGGCCACACUGGAACUGAGACACGGUCCAGACUCCUACGGGAGGCAGCAGUAGGGAAUCUUCCGCAAUGGGCGAAAGCCUGACGGAGCAACGCCGCGUGAGUGAUGAAGGGUUUCGGCUCGUAAAACUCUGUUAUUAGGGAAGAACAUAUGUGUAAGUAACUGUGCACAUCUUGACGGUACCUAAUCAGAAAGCCACGGCUAACUACGUGCCAGCAGCCGCGGUAAUACGUAGGUGGCAAGCGUUAUCCGGAAUUAUUGGGCGUAAAGCGCGCGUAGGCGGUUUCUUAAGUCUGAUGUGAAAGCCCACGGCUCAACCGUGGAGGGUCAUUGGAAACUGGGAAACUUGAGUGCAGAAGAGGAAAGUGGAAUUCCAUGUGUAGCGGUGAAAUGCGCAGAGAUAUGGAGGAACACCAGUGGCGAAGGCGACUUUCUGGUCUGUAACUGACGCUGAUGUGCGAAAGCGUGGGAUCAAACAGGAUUAGAUACCCUGGUAGUCCACGCCGUAACGAUGAGUGCUAAGUGUUAGGGGGUUUCCGCCCCUUAGUGCUGCAGCUAA